rnacentral:rRNA from 1 species
UACGUAGGGGGCAAACGUUGCUCGGAAUCACUGGGCGUAAAGGGUGUGUAGGCGGCUGGGCAAGUCAAGGAUGAAAUCCCGCGGCUCAACUGCGGAACCGUCCUUGAAACUGCCUAGCUUGAGGAUAGUCGAAGAAAACGGAAUUCCCGGUGGAGCGGUGAAAUGCGUAGAUAUCGGGAGGAACACCAGAGGCGAAAGCGGUUUUCUAGGCUACUCCUGACGCUGAGGCACGAAAGCUAGGGGAGCAAACGGG